rnacentral:rRNA from 1 species
GAUGAACGCUGGCGGCGUGCCUAAUACAUGCAAGUCGAGCGAACGGACGAGAAGCUUGCUUCUCUGAUGUUAGCGGCGGACGGGUGAGUAACACGUGGAUAACCUACCUAUAAGACUGGGAUAACUUCGGGAAACCGGAGCUAAUACCGGAUAAUAUUUUGAACCGCAUGGUUCAAAAGUGAAAGACGGUCUUGCUGUCACUUAUAGAUGGAUCCGCGCUGCAUUAGCUAGUUGGUAAGGUAACGGCUUACCAAGGCAACGAUGCAUAGCCGACCUGAGAGGGUGAUCGGCCACACUGGAACUGAGACACGGUCCAGACUCCUACGGGAGGCAGCAGUAGGGAAUCUUCCGCAAUGGGCGAAAGCCUGACGGAGCAACGCCGCGUGAGUGAUGAAGGUCUUCGGAUCGUAAAACUCUGUUAUUAGGGAAGAACAUAUGUGUAAGUAACUGUGCACAUCUUGACGGUACCUAAUCAGAAAGCCACGGCUAACUACGUGCCAGCAGCCGCGGUAAUACGUAGGUGGCAAGCGUUAUCCGGAAUUAUUGGGCGUAAAGCGCGCGUAGGCGGUUUUUUAAGUCUGAUGUGAAAGCCCACGGCUCAACCGUGGAGGGUCAUUGGAAACUGGAAAACUUGAGUGCAGAAGAGGAAAGUGGAAUUCCAUGUGUAGCGGUGAAAUGCGCAGAGAUAUGGAGGAACACCAGUGGCGAAGGCGACUUUCUGGUCUGUAACUGACGCUGAUGUGCGAAAGCGUGGGGAUCAAACAGGAUUAGAUACCCUGGUAGUCCACGCCGUAAACGAUGAGUGCUAAGUGUUAGGGGGUUUCCGCCCCUUAGUGCUGCAGCUAACGCAUUAAGCACUCCGCCUGGGGAGUACGACCGCAAGGUCGAAACUCAAAGGAAUUGACGGGGACCCGCACAAGCGGUGGAGCAUGUGGUUUAAUUCGAAGCAACGCGAAGAACCUUACCAAAUCUUGACAUCCUUUGACAACUCUAGAGAUAGAGCUUUCCCCUUCGGGGGACAAAGUGACAGGUGGUGCAUGGUUGUCGUCAGCUCGUGUCGUGAGAUGUUGGGUUAAGUCCCGCAACGAGCGCAACCCUUAAGCUUAGUUGCCAUCAUUAAGUUGGGCACUCUAAGUUGACUGCCGGUGACAAACCGGAGGAAGGUGGGGAUGACGUCAAACCAUCAUGCCCCUUAUGAUUUGGGCUACACACGUGCUACAAUGGACAAUACAAAGGGCAGCGAAACCGUGAGGUCAAGCAAAUCCCAUAAAGUUGUUCUCAGUUCGGAUUGUAGUCUGCAACUCGACUACAUGAAGCUGGAAUCGCUAGUAAUCGUAGAUCAGCAUGCUACGGUGAAUACGUUCCCGGGUCU